UUAAGUUCAGCGGGUCUUCCUACCUGAUCCGAGGUCAACCUUGGGUAAAUAAGGCUUUUUAACGGCCGGAACCCGCAGCACGCCCUGAGCGAGAUGUAUUACUACGCUCGGAGUGACUAGCGAGCCCGCCACUGGUUUCAGGGCCGGCGGUGUGCUGCCGGUCCCCAACGCCGACUUCCCCAAAGGGAGGUCGAGGGUUG
rnacentral:misc_RNA from 1 species